rnacentral:rRNA from 1 species
UGGGGAAUUUUGGACAAUGGGGGCAACCCUGAUCCAGCAAUGCCGCGUGUGUGAAGAAGGCCUUCGGGUUGUAAAGCACUUUUGUCCGGAAAGAAAACUUCGGGGCUAAUACCCCUGGAGGAUGACGGUACCGGAAGAAUAAGCACCGGCUAACUACGUGCCAGCAGCCGCGGUAAUACGUAGGGUGCGAGCGUUAAUCGGAAUUACUGGGCGUAAAGCGUGCGCAGGCGGUGCUGUAAGACCGAUGUGAAAUCCCCGGGCUUAACCUGGGAACUGCAUUGGUGACUGCAGCGCUGGAGUAUGGCAGAGGGGGGUGGAAUUCCACGUGUAGCAGUGAAAUGCAUAGAGAUGUGGAGGAACACCGAUGGCGAAGGCAGCCCCCUGGGACAAUACUGACGCUCAUGCACGAAAGCGUGGGGAGCAAACAGG